UGGCUCAGGAUGAACGCUAGCUACAGGCUUAACACAUGCAAGUCGAGGGAAACGAUAUUGGAAGCUUGCUUCGAUAGGCGUCGACCGGCGCACGGGUGAGUAACGCGUAUCCAACCUGCCCAUCACUUGGGGAUAACCUUGCGAAAGUAAGACUAAUACCCAAUGACGUCUCUAGAAGACAUCUGAAGGAGAUUAAAGAUUUAUCGGUGAUGGGUGGGGAUGCGUCUGAUUAGCUUGUUGGCGGGGUAACGGCCCACCAAGGCGACGAUCAGUAGGGGUUCUGAGAGGAAGGUCCCCCACAUUGGAACUGAGACACGGUCCAAACUCCUACGGGAGGCAGCAGUGAGGAAUAUUGGUCAAUGGGCGAGAGCCUGAACCAGCCAAGUAGCGUGCAGGAUGACGGCCCUAUGGGUUGUAAACUGCUUUUAUAAGGGAAUAAAGUGGGAGUCGUGACUCUUUUUGCAUGUACCUUAUGAAUAAGGACCGGCUAAUUCCGUG
rnacentral:rRNA from 1 species